rnacentral:rRNA from 1 species
UACGUAGGGCGCAAGCGUUGUCCGGAAUUAUUGGGCGUAAAGAGCUCGUAGGCGGUUUGUCGCGUCUGCUGUGAAAGUCCGAGGCUCAACCUCGGAUCUGCAGUGGGUACGGGCAGACUAGAGUGUGGUAGGGGAGACUGGAAUUCCUGGUGUAGCGGUGAAAUGCGCAGAUAUCAGGAGGAACACCGGUGGCGAAGGCGGGUCUCUGGGCCGUAACUGACGCUGGAGGAGCGAAAGCCGUGGGGAGCGAACAGGA